AUACAGCAACGUGAGUGGGUUGAGAAGCCUCCAGGAGUGCUUGGAGUGCCCCCCCGGCCUGUAUUGUGAUGGGACAAACAACCAAGCUCCCUCAGGACUGUGUGAACCUGGCUACUUCUGUACAGGAGGUGCCAAAAGUGCUCUUCAGCAAGUGGUGAUGGAGGGACAUUAUUCCUUAACAGGAGCUUUCAAGCCAGAGCCGUGUCCUCUUGGCAGCUUCCAGCCUGGCCGUGGUCAGUCUCUUUGUAGGGAGUGUCCAGAGGGUACAUUCUGCAAUGAGACAGGCCUGGCUGCACCCC
rnacentral:lncRNA from 1 species